GCCUCUGGCUAUAGGAAAUUGUUAGUGGCAGACGGGUGAGUAAUGCGUAGGAAUCUACCUAGUAGUACGGAAUAGCCAUUAGAAAUGGUGGGUAAUACUGUAUAAUCCCCGAGGGGGAAAGAUUUAUCGCUAUUAGAUGAGCCUACGUUAGAUUAGCUAGUUGGUGAGGUAAUGGCUUACCAAGGCUAUGAUCUAUAGCUGGUCUGAGAGGACGAUCAGCCACACUGGAACUGAGAUACGGUCCAGACUCCUACGGGAGGCAGCAGUGGGGAAUAUUGGACAAUGGGCGAAAGCCUGAUCCAGCUAUGCCGCGUGAGUGAAGAAGGCCUUCGGGUUGUAAAACUCUUUCAAUAGGGAAGAUAAUGACGGUACCU
rnacentral:rRNA from 1 species